rnacentral:tRNA from 1 species
GAAAAUUUAGUUAAUAAUAUAAUAUUAGCUUGUCAAGCUAAAGUAACUUCCCUAGUAAUUUUCU